GAACAGGGUGGUUUUUAAUCAGUAAAAGUCUGACACUCCCUCUCAAGUAAUUGGAUGAUUUUCCCCCCUUAAAAAUGGUUAGGCAACUGGCUGCUGCACAACAUGUCGUAGGUUUGAUUCUCGCACGGAACGGCUUACCUAGCUGUUCGGGCAUCUGAGCGUAGUAAUAUAAUUAUAUUAUUCUUAUAAUUUAUAUAUUAUUUGAAAUCCUUGACAAAAUAUAAUAAAGUUUAAUUAUAUUUGGCAUGCUUUAGAACAGGGAUUUGGCAUUCUCUACUAUAUAAUUUACACACAUACACUCGAAGGGCUGGGUACCUGCACCACUACCUUUAUAUCUGCACACAUACCCAUAUGACAAAUAGGUGUUAUACAUGUUCCAUUACUACCCCGUAUAUAAGAUUAUGUAGGCAUCAGGUACACAGGGCCGUCUAGAAUCGGUAAAGAGUUAAAAUUCUAAUUCAAAUUCUAAAAUCAAAUUUUUCCUGAGACUCGUCGGAUUUCAAAUCUAUAGAUGACGUGAAAUAAAAGCCCGCAGCCCGACCGGCCACCAGCGGCAAUUUAACACAGCAUAGACAAUUUUGACAGUACUGCGCUGCUGACAAGUGACAGCAGCAGUCAAAACAGCUAAGUAAAUGACAGACAAUAAAAAUAAAAUAAACACGUUGAAAUCUUGAAAAUUCAUAAUAAAGGGAUAAUUCGGGUCGUUUGUAAUACUAUUUAGUGAAAAGUGCUGCUCUUAAAGAAAACAACAUGAACUGGGAAGAUGACAUACUGGACACAUCAAAUAUACAAUUUAUUGGUGAUUUUGAUGUCCAAGUGCAAGAAAUUUUGUCAUAUGUGAGACUGACUGCGGAAAGAGUACAUGGUCUGAAGCUCUUGUUUGAUGACUUAGAAUUUGCACUGCAGCAAUUGUCACCUGGUUGUCAGAUUGAACCGUUUGGCUCGGUGGUGACUGGGCUCGGGAUAAAGUCAAGUGAUGUGGACUGCUACGUGUCGCUGCCUCCCGGCGAGCUGCCCACUCCCCAACAUGUCGUCCGCGCCAGGCGGAUACUAGGCCGAUACAACACUAAGUUCACUAAGCUACUAGCCAUCACAAAUGCUAAAGUUCCCAUAGUCAAGUUCUUCCAUAUCCCUACUCAGUGUCAUUGUGACGUCAAUUUCAAAAGCCCUGCCGGAGUGCGCAAUAGCAAACUACUCGCUUUCCUACUGCACUGGGACAGACGAGCCCUUCCCUUAGCCAUUCUGAUCAAAUACUGGGCUAGGCUAAACAAUUUUAUAGGCACCAAUCGGAUGGGCAAUUAUGCAUUAAUGAUGAUGGUGGUAUUUUAUUUGCAACUGAAGAACAUUCUGCCCGCGGUGUAUCGGCUGCAAGCGAACGUGCCGCCCUACAUGGUGGACGGCUGGAACACCGCGUUCGAUGACAGUAUGCGUGGCGAGGGCACCAACACCGACUCGCUGUACGAGCUGAUGGGCGACUUCUUCAAGUGUUUCAGUACAUUCAACUUUGCUGACUUUGUCAUCUCACCAUAUUUAGGACGCGCGAUCCCUAAAAAAUGUUUUGAAAAUUUUGAUCUUCCAGAUGAGUUUCAUUUAUACAAGCAACAUGUUACUUUAGAUGUCCGUAAAAAGAUAAAUACAAAAGUCAAACUAUGCGUCCAAGACCCCUUCGACCACGCCAGGAACUGUACUGUUGGUGUCUACGAGAGGUUGGUCGACAAAAUAAUGCUUCACUUACAAUUUGCGGCGCAGAAAUUUAGUGAACAGCCAAGUCACAAUUUUCUAAAAGUUAUAUUGACGCAAGAUCCAAACAGCCGGCCAAUUAGCAAGGCGCUACCACCGCAUCUACACAAAAAUAAUAGAAUACAAAAAGCCAACCGGAAACAGAAGCAGAAAGGGCUGCGCACUGGCUUGUCGAUGCUCGCGAACAAUCGCUCGGCUAUCACUGUGCUGACGAAAGGAGACACAUCAGUAAAGUAAGUCGAUCAACGCGACUCGGUGUAACAUUGUCGAUACAACAGUACCUGCGCUACCGGCGUAGCCAAGUGAGAGAGACUGGACAGACUGUGCGCUACUUAAUGUAAUGUGUAACAUAUUUGUGCCUAUUCAGGCGUAAACACUAUCCAGCAUACUACUGUUUUAAGUACAAUAUUUUUAUUAGAAGAUAUAUAUUAUGUACUUAAAUAUUGAAAAAAGUAACUUGAAAAGAAAAGACUUCUAAGAUUGUUUAAAUAGGUACUUAAAUAUUUUACCUAAUUGUGCUAUUUGUAGGUAGGUAGGUAGAUGUAAUAUAAUAUGUAGUAUUUUUCCGAACCUGGAUGUAACAUUAUAAUGUAAAUGGAAGUACUCUGUGCUAAUGUUUAUUAUAAACAAUUAAACAUGAAAAAUAAGCUAAAACAUCUUAUCGCGAAUAUACAAUAUUACUGUUAGAGUAUCUGCUACGCAAUGUGUAUUUUAUUAAAUAUUAUUAUGACACACGACAGAGGCAGCAUAAAUCUACAAGUAUAUUAUAUGUUGUAACUGUUUCUCUCGUAGAGGCCUACUAAAGUUGAUUUUUAAAAUGUGAUUUAGUUAGGUAUGUUUUAUAAGUAUGUACUUAUUUUAUUGAAAAGUCCACAUAAUUACCAACUUCCAUGUACAUAGUAUUAUUAUAAUUUCGUAGAAUGUGUACAAAUAAUUUAUGUAGGUAAAUACUGUUUCAGAUUCAAGUGUAAAUAAAAUCCAGGUAUUUUGACAUUUUUGAUGUAAAAACAACAUAGGCCUUCCUUCUUUUCAAGUCUGUAAAAGUAAGUUACUUUGUUUGAUAUAGUAAUCUCUUCGUCCUUACAUUUUUGUUGGUUGUAUCAAAUGUGAAAUAAUAAAUAUAGGUAGAUUGGUACUUACAUAGUAUAUAAGCUGUAAUAAUGUAAACACAUUAUCUUGCCGGCGCUGUUUCAAGCCAGAGACUUAAUUUUCGAUUUAAGGUUUAAGAAAUUAAAGUAGACAAGAUGAUACGCGAACCAUUUUUGUGUAAACUACAACAUUUGCUCUUCAUAAAGUAUACAUAAUUACCACGACUUGUAGUUCAAGUCAUCACCAAGCAUGCAUCUCCAAGGUGUUGUCUAUAUAUCGUUAUACCUUGUAUUAGGUAGCCACUUUAGCCUUCCAACUUAGAAUUUAUUGUAACUGUAAGUAGGUGCUUAGUAAUACAAAUUGUCCUUAUAUUAAAUACCUCUCGUGAGCCAUUUAAAUUAAUUAUAUAUUAUUAUAUUUAACGGUUUAUUUACAUUGCUGGUCAACGAGGUAAGUCGACUAGUUUCAAGCCACGCUAGGGGCUCAUAGUCUAAGUGAGAGUUGAAAGUUUGCCGUUGUAUGUCGCGCAUUGUUACACAUGAAUAUGACUUAAUAUGAGCUCCUAUCCUGGCUUUAAACUAGUCGAGUACCUCGUCUAACAGUUACGUGAAUGAGCCGUAAAAUUAUUAGAAAUUGUAGCAAUUUCCUUACACAGGAACUUAAUGUUGAUCUCAGUGGUUUCAAGUCAAACAAGUUACGGUUCUUCCAUGUACUUAGUAGGUACUUAUAAUAAGCACACAGUGUAAAUAUACACCGAUCUGAUUUUUGAUGUUAAUCAGCUCAAAUAUUACAAUUAUGUAAAUGGAACUUACUUUGAUCUAACUAAUUACAAAUGUGAAAUAUACGAAAAUCAUAAACGA